GACUUGGAAUUGAUUUUUUUUCUAUCGUAGAAUUACAUCAUUCCUUCUGGUGACUUGUUGAUGUUGUCUCCAUUUUGGCUACAUAGAAACCCAAAGUAUUUUCCUGAACCUGAACUGUUCAAACCUGAACGUUGGAAAAAGGCAAAUUUAAAGAAGCACGCUUUCUUGGACUGCUUCAUGGCAUUUGGAAAUGGGAAGUCCCAGUGUCCUGGAAGGUGGUUUGCUCUGUUAGAGAUUCAAAUAUGUGUUAUCUUAAUGCUUUAUAAAUAUGACUGUAGUCUUCUGGACCCACUACCAAAACAGGCAAGUAUUUUCAGAAUUUUGAAUUUCAUGGUGUCUUUCAAAUUUGACAUAAACUCUAGCCCCUUGGUUUCAAUUACUAGAGAUGAGCUAACUGAUUUCCUCACUAGAGCCUGAUCUUAACGGGUGCCUUAGAUAGAACCGGAUUAAGAAGACACCUGGUCCCCUUAAUUCAGGAUCCAAUCUGUGUGCCCCAUUACCACCUGGCCAACAUCUAAUAGCAGUGUUUCCACCACUCCCAAUGUUAGGAGCUCCUCAAUGAAUUUACUAGUGUGGAUCCUUUUGCCUGGGUUAAAUAAACAUGGCCUUGACUUUAGCCUUGUUUCCUUAGAAAGGAGUGUUUGUAGGUCCCAAAGUGAACCAUCAGUUUUGGAUUCAAGUCAUGCAAGCCUUUGGUCCAUUUGGAAAGCAAGCAAUGGUGUGGAAGAAAACUAACCCCACAAUAAAACCAGUGAAUAGAAAUGAAGAGGCUUUAUUCCUACCUCUGACCAUUGAGUAUUCCAAUCAUUUAAUCCCUCUGUAGGUCUGUUCUACUAGACCCAGUGGCUCUCAAACUGACAUAAGCGUAAGGAUCAGAAAGGGACUUGUUAGAACACAGACUGCUGGGCCUCAUCCCUAGACUUCUUGAUCCAGUAGGAACUGAGGAGGGCUUUUGAAUUUGCAUUUCUAACACGUUCCAGGUGCUGCUGCUGCUUCUAUUGGUCUGGGGGCCACACUUUGAGCACCACUGUUGUGAGAAAUAAGGGGGAGUUCAGUUUAAUUCCAAAUGUUUGGAAGUCAUUUUGAAAACCGGAUAAAAAUGUUAUUAACAUUAAAACUGAGGCUGAAGCUCAGAAAUUAAGCAUUGCAAUCUCAGGGGUACUCACAUAGCAUUUUAUGCUUUGAUUUACUCUUUAUAUAAUAAAGCUAAUGAAUGGAGGCUUAAAUAAAACUCUUGGGUGACAUUUCAAUAGAAAUUAUGUAAGUAUGUUAGUGAUAGAAAGUAUUAUGUUACUCACAAAUACGCACAUUUCAGCACUUUCCCUUGAUUUCUUUUGCACUUCUAUUUUGAGUACGAGUAAUUAUCACUGAUGAAGAGCUCUCAGAAUCUCACAAUGAAAGGGAACACAAAGCACCCUUCACAAAGGUUUUCAGCUUAUUGUUGGCAAAGUAAACAUUAGGGCCAGACUUUAUAGAACCAAAUAUGAGUUCAUGGU